rnacentral:rRNA from 1 species
AUGGGUGACCUGAAUGAAAUUCUGUAUGCUUCCGAGAAGGAGGGCGGAAGGAUGAGACCGGUGAAGUAUAUGCAAGCUUUCAGGGAUUGUACAGAUUGUCAGCUUGAUGAUUUGGGAUACAUUGGUAAUAAGUUUACAUGGCAGAGAGGUGAUGUUCGUGAGCGCCUGGAUAGGGCACUGGGAAAUACUAGUUGGUCUGCUAGGUUCCCGGAUGCUGGCAUACAUAACCUUACAAUGACAGGCUCGGACCAUCGUCCGAUCAUGAUGGAUUCUCUAACCUACUCCACUGUUCAAUCGAAGGUUAGGAAACAUAGGAGAUUCGAAGGCAAAUGGUUGAAGGAAGAAAAAUUCAGGGAUAUAGUGCAAACGUCAUGGGAUCAUGCACCGCCGGGCGUCCCGGUGAUGACUAAGCUCGAAGCGCUUCACACUGAUCUUCAUGAGUGGGAUAGAGACGUGUUGAAGGCUCCACUGAAAAAAGUGAAGGACCUGACUAAGGAGUUGGACCGAGUGUUGGCAGGCCCAAUGAAUGCUGACUCGGUUAGACGGCGGCAAGAAUCACAAAAGAAAUAG